rnacentral:rRNA from 1 species
GACGAACGCUGGCGGCGUGCUUAACACAUGCAAGUCGAACGGAAAGGCCCUGCUUUUGUGGGGUGCUCGAGUGGCGAACGGGUGAGUAACACGUGAGUAACCUGCCCUUUACUUUGGGAUAACUUCAGGAAACUGGGGCUAAUACCGGAUAGGAGCUCCUGCUGCAUGGUGGGGGUUGGAAAGUUUCGGCGGUUGGGGAUGGACUCGCGGCUUAUCAGCUUGUUGGUGGGGUAGUGGCUUACCAAGGCUUUGACGGGUAGCCGGCCUGAGAGGGUGACCGGCGAAAUUGGGACUGAGAUACGGCCCAGACUCCAACGGGAGGCAGCAGUGGGGAAUAUUGAAAAAUGGGCGGAAGCCUGAUGCAGAAACGCCGCGUGCGGGAUGACGGCCUUCGGGUUGUAAACCGCUUUCGCCUGUGACGAAGCGUGAGUGACGGUAAUGGGUAAAGAAGCACCGGCUAACUACGUG